GGGAGAACUGAAGCUGAUCAGCUCAUUGACUGGAGUCAAAACAAGUUAUUCCGGUGGGCAAUGGAGAGGAGAGAAAAUUUUGAAAAAAUCCAAAUAAGAGGAAAAGUAAUUGUUACUGAUAGAAUUGAAAAGAAAAUAAAAUGACAAACAAGAGCACUGAGCAAUGGAUAAUCAAGAAACGAGAAGAGAUGUGCAUUUGAAUCUUUGAAUUUUUGCAACAAAGUUGGCCAGGAAGCGCUUGGAACGAAGAGCCUAAGAUUCCAACUUAAUGGGUAAUAGCUUCAUUUGCGGGAGAAAGAAAGAUACCAAAGAUAAUGGAGUAAGAAGCACGACAAUGGGAAGAUCACAAAGAAAAAUGAUUGCAGAAGAAGAGUUUUUGCAUAGGCAAGUUUUAUCCGUGACUCUUUAUCAACACCAGUUGUCUUAAAUAUUUGAUGGAUUGAUGUCCACGAGAACUGGCUCUACCAACCCUAGAAGUCCCUCUGGUCCAUUAGCUAAUAAUGUGAAAUGAGUGGGUUUUUUUAUUAAAUUACUUAUCUUUGCUUCCUGACCGUGUUUUCAUGUGUAAUCACAAUGUUAAUCAUUGUUUUAGUUGAUUGGAUCUAUGAUGGAAAGUUGGGUUUUGGUGAUUGAUUGUGAAACAGUAGCAACAAUUAGAAAAAGUUGUUAAUCAUGUUGGAAAACAGCAUUAGUCAAUAGUUAAGCUGGUAUAAAUAAGGAACAAGAAGUUAAAAGUGUUUCUUUUGCUUUAAAUUGGAAAACUUAAAAGGAGAACCUGGAAAAAUAUUCAUUGAUUCAUUGUGUUUUAGCAAUUUGUAACUUUAUUUCUUUGAGUUAGUUUUCAAGUCUUUGAUGUAAUUUAUCUUUGACUUUUAUAACAUUUAUUUUCAUUUUAAGUGGAAUUCAUCUAAUUGCACAAUGUUCUUAUUAUUUAUGAUAUCGAUACAAGAGGUUGAGAAGCCGGUGGAAAAGCUCUAUGGAUUACUUAAGAAACUCAAGGUAUGUAAGAUGAUCACAUCAUUUUUAAGUGAGAUUAUUUUAUCAGCGAAAGUUGGAUUGAGAUAUUUUUGGUUUAUGUUUUUGUAUAUUAAAAUCUCUGGUUUACAUGUGCUCGUGCUAUCAUAUUAAUGUCUGUUUGAAAUGUAAUGUUAUCUCAUUUAUUGAUUUUCAGUUGUUCAUGCUAGAAAUAUGCUCUUUCCCCUAUAUUCCUUUUAGUUAAAACUAAGAGUGACUACAAACAGUCAACUCUUUUAGCUGUUGGAUUGAAAUCCUGUAGGUAUUGGAAAAGGAAAAAUGGAGGGAAAAGGGGAGGUUGAAAAAUCGCUUACAAGGAGGUUGGUAAAUCAUCUGUGAUACUUAAGGCAGCAAAAGAUUGGAUUAGGUAAAAAAUUAUUGAUAUGUCAAAUAUGAAAUAUAAUUUUUUAGUUUUUUAUGUCAAAGGUUGAUAUGUCAAAGACUGAUAAUAGAUUUGGAUUACGUAAAUCCUUCAAAAGAUUCGAUCCAAAAGUAAAGAAUAGCUAAUUCUUUGUGCAAAAGGUAUAAAUUAAAUUGACUUUAUUUCUUCUAACAUGUUCUUCUAUGCAAUAUCAUUCUUCCAUGUACAAAUUGUUGCCUGAACACUUACUGAGAGAUGUAUUUACACAUUUCAAGAGAUAUGCACCUUUUUGUGUGAAAGAAUUGAGAUUGCUUUGUUUCUUUAUAUCAAAAUAGCUUUAUGUAUCUUAGCUUCACCUCUUUUUAUGUUUGCCUUGGUGAUCUCACUCUCCAUGUUAAGACCACUUGAAAUUUUAGAAAGUGAAGCAUCAGAAAUAAUUUUUAUGGAAUUAGUAACGCAAUCGUACUUUGAUAUAGUCCAGAAGAACAUUCAAGACUUAGUGCCAAAGGCAAUAAUGCACUUUUUAUGGUAAUUCUGUUUCGUUUUCCCCCUCUAGUUGGUCCAUUUUAAACUUUUAUUCUAUUGAGUUUAAAUUAAAAUACGUUUCUUCCUUUUUAUCAAUGUGCUGGUAUGUCUCUUGCUUUUGGUUGAUGGUAAUUAUAUCGUGUUUUAGUUUUCAGUUUGCAAAAUACGUAUAAGUUAAAUGAUAAAAGUUCUUCUGGCACUCAGUAGUUGUCCCUGACUAUUUUCCAUGAUGGCAUGUAUGUUUCUGCUUUCGCAUGCAGAGAACAAUUAAUUGAUGUGUAAACUUGCAGUCUAAUUAAUUUUAUUUAUAUGCAAACUCCAAUUAUAUGUGAAAAUUUAAGGUUUGAGCGAUGAUAGUUUACCUAUUGGAUUCAUUUUAGAUUUCACAAUUGAUACAAGUUUGUGCAAUGUGUAAUGAAUUUGAGGUUCAUAGCAUUGUCAUUCGAGAAAUUAGAGACUUACAUAUUUUAUUUUCAUUAUUAGAAGUUGUAUUCCAAGUUUUGAAAAUGUAUGUAUGUUCUAAUUUCAUUGCUAAUUGUCUUUAUUAUGAUUAUUGCGUUGUUUAGCUGCAUAUUCUUAUCUCAAUCACUUUGAUAAAGUUUAAAAAGUAUUUGGCAAUAAAUUUAUAAUUUAAAAACAGAAAAAAUAGAAAAAGGAAGGAAAAAAUUAUAUAAUAUAAACCCCGACGUAUACCUUGGGUUUCAUAUACUAGUAAUUAAUUUAAUUUUGUUCAUGUUUUAGUCAAUCGCGAAACUUUGUGAAACUUUAAAAAACGAGAAUCUGGUUUUUUCCAAAAUUUUUCAAGCUUUACAGAAAUUAUAUGAUUUUUAAGUUAAUUAAAAAAAAGAAAAGCAAAAAUCAAGGAAAAAGUCGAAGGUUAACCUAAAAGUUAAUUAAGUUAAACUUGAUGGAAUUUGAUCAAAUUUAGAUCAUUUUUAGGAUAACCGAAUCAAGGCAUUGGAUCAGUAAAGAUUUUAAAGUUAAUCUUUAGUUUUGAAUCAAAAUAACCCUGAUGUUUAAAAUUUUUGUUGGACCUAAAAGGAGGAAAAUUACAAAAC